GAUGAACGCUAGCGGCAGGCCUAACACAUGCAAGUCGAGGGGCAGCACGAUUGAGCUUGCUUAGUUGGUGGCGACCGGCGCACGGGUGCGUAACGCGUAUGCAACCUACCUUAUACUGGGGUAUAGCCCGGAGAAAUUCGGAUUAAUCCCCCAUAGUAUUGUCGAUUCGCAUGUUUUGACAAUUAAAGGUUACGGUAUAAGAUGGGCAUGCGUCCCAUUAGCUAGAUGGUGAGGUAACGGCUCACCAUGGCGACGAUGGGUAGGGGGCCUGGGGGGGUGGUCCCUCACACUGGUACUUGACCACGGACCAGACUCCUACGGGAGGCAGCAGUGAGGAAUAUUGGUCAAUGGCUCAAGCCUGACCCAACCAUGCCGCGUGCAGGAUGAAGGCGUUAUGCGUUGUAAACUGCUUUUAUACAGGAAGAAACGACUCUUGCGAGAGGCAUUGACGGUACUGUAUGAAUAAGCACCGGCUAACUCCGUGCCAGCCGCCGCCGUAAAAC
rnacentral:rRNA from 1 species